AUUGAACGCUGGCGGCAGGCCUAACACAUGCAAGUCGAACGGUAGCACAGAGAGCUUGCUCUCGGGUGACGAGUGGCGGACGGGUGAGUAACGUCUGGGAAACCGCCCGAUGGAGGGGGAUAACUACUGGAAACGGUAGCUAAUACCGCAUAACGUCGCAAGACCAAAGUGGGGGACCUUCGGGCCUCACACCAUCGGAUGUGCCCAGGUGGGAUUAGCUAGUAGGUGGGGUAAUGGCUCACCUAGGCGACGAUCCCUAGCUGGUCUGAGAGGAUGACCAGCCACACUGGAACGGAGACACGGUCCAGACUCCUACGGGAGGCAGCAGUGGGGAAUAUUGCACAAGGGGCGCAAGCCUGAUGCAGCCAUGCCGCGUGUAUGAAGAAGGCCUUCGGGUUGUAAAGUACUUUCAGCGGGGAGGAAGGCGGUGAAGUUAAUAGCUUCACCGAUUGACGUUACCCGCAGAAGAAGCACCGGCUAACUCCGUGCCAGCCGCCGCAGUAA
rnacentral:rRNA from 1 species